rnacentral:rRNA from 1 species
UACGUAGGUGGCAAGCGUUGUCCGGAAUUAUUGGGCGUAAAGCGCGCGCAGGCGGCCUCCUAAGUCCGAUGUGAAAGCCCACGGCUCAACCGUGGAGGGUCAUUGGAAACUGGGGGACUUGAGUGCAGGAGAGAAGAGUGGAAUUCCACGUGUAGCGGUGAAAUGCGUAGAGAUGUGGAGGAACACCAGUGGCGAAGGCGACUCUGUGGCCUGUAACUGACGCUGAGGCGCGAAAGCGUGGGGAGCAAACAGG